rnacentral:miRNA from 5 species
GAGGUUUUCUGGGUUUCUGUUUC